rnacentral:rRNA from 1 species
ACUUAUCACUUUCGCUUAGCCACUGAAAUUGCUUCCAACAGCUAGUAUCCAUCGUUUACGGCGUGGACUACCAGGGUAUCUAAUCCUGUUCGCUACCCACGCUUUCGUCCAUCAGCGUCAAUCCAUUAGUAGUAACCUGCCUUCGCAAUUGGUAUUCCAUGUAAUCUCUAAGCAUUUCACCGCUACACUACAUAUUCUAGUUACUUCCUAAUAAUUCAAGUUUAGCAGUAUCAAUGGCCGUUCCACCGUUGAGCGAUGGGCUUUCACCACUGACUUACUAAACCGCCUACGGACCCUUUAAACCCAAUGAUUCCGGAUAACGCUUGGAUCCUCCGUAUUACCGCGGCUGCUGGCACGGAGUUAGCCGAUCCUUAUUCUUACGAUACCGUCAAGCUCCUUCACGAAGGAGUGUUUCUUCUCGUACAAAAGCAGUUUACAAUCCAUAGGACCGUCAUCCUGCACGCGGCAUGGCUGGAUCAGGCUUGCGCCCAUUGUCCAAUAUUCCUCACUGCUGCCUCCCGUAGGAGUCUGGUCCGUGUCUCAGUACCAGUGUGGGGGAUCUCCCUCUCAGGACCCCUACCCAUCGUAGCCUUGGUAAGCCGUUACCUUACCAACUAGCUAAUGGGACGCAUGCUCAUCUUUUACCGUUGUGACUUUAAUAGCUGCUUCAUGCGAAGCUGCUAUGCUAUGAGGUAUUAAUCCAAAUUUCUCUGGGCUAUCCCUCUGUAAAAGGUAGAUUGCAUACGCGUUACGCACCCGUGCGCCGGUCUCUAUAUCCGAAGACAUAUACCCCUCGACUUGCA